rnacentral:misc_RNA from 1 species
UCUCCGUUGGUGAACCAGCGGAGGGAUCAUUAAAAUAGAGGUCCAAAGCCCCUAAAACCUACCGUGCUCCCAUCGUGGAAACCCUUUAAACAGAGAGCCCUCGCUGGCACUAGUUAUCUGAGAAGCAGAACCGCGCCCCGGCGCGAGAACUGAAAGAAAAUUACAACCCAUAACAAUGGAUCUCUUGGCUCUGGCAUCGAUGAAGAACGCAGCGAAAUGCGAUAAUUAAUAUGAAUUGCAGAAUUCAGUGAAUCAUCGAGUUUUUGAACGCACAUUGCGCCCUCUGGUAAUCCGGAGGGCAUGUCCGACCGAGCGUCACUAGAACCGCCCGAGCCCCCCCAGGCUCGGUGUUGGGGACCGCGGGGUCGGGGUCACAGGGCUAGCCCUUUCCCCCCUCCCGCGCCCCCGAAAAGCAGCGGCGGCCCGCACCGCGGCAGGGCCCCCCAGCGGAGUAGAACGUUACCUCGCCCGGGGGCCCGCGCACACCAGGCGGGCCCGGCCACCCCAGGAAAGGGGGGGAAACUCCCCGGACCGAACCCACUGAAAAAACCCGGUUGGCCUCGGGUCGGACAAGAUUACCCGCUGAACUUAA